rnacentral:lncRNA from 1 species
CCGCCACCUGUCAUCCCCUACCAAUCACCACAGACUUUUUUUCUUCUUCUGCUGUCAUCAGCGUCGCCUUCUCCUUCUUCCUUUCUUGCUGUCGCCAUCGAGCUUUAAGGAGAAAAGCUCCCUUCCUCGCUGCAGCUGCAAGUGCAGCCUUCUGCCGCCCUUUUCUCGCGAAUCCGGAGACGGAUUCGUGCUCCCCACCGUCGAAAAUCCAAGGUCAGCUCCUCCUCCAGCCUCUAUCAUCACCGACAGCCUUAGGAGAGCCUCACUGGAGCAGAUUCUCCUCCUCCGCAAUCUAGUAUUUUCCGACAAGAGUUAGGCUGUAAUUUUGGUGUCUUGGUCUGUUAAAAACUAUGAAAAAUUAUUAAGUGAGCACACUGAUGGACUAAUUUAAUUAUGCACAUUUACGUGAAAGAAUUAUCGGUUACGUGUAUGCAUACAUGUGUGAGUUGUCUGAGUUAUUUUAACA